AGAAUUAGAGGAUGAGGUGAUGGA
rnacentral:siRNA from 1 species